CAGGGCUUUCCUUGCCAGUGGAUUGUGUAGAGUGUACAGCCAGUCUCUUGUCUUCUGUCCAACAUGGCAUCUUCUGAUAUUCAGGUGAAAGAGCUGGAGAAGCGUGCUUCCGGCCAGGCUUUUGAGCUGAUUCUCAGCCCUCGAUCAAAAGAAUCUGUCCCCGAGUUCCCCCUUUCCCCCCCAAAGAAGAAGGAUCUUUCCCUGGAGGAAAUUCAGAAGAAAUUAGAAGCUGCAGAAGAAAGACGCAAGGUAACCCAGACGAUUUACAGGAGAUACAGGAAACUUAUUAAUGUAAUGAGGCAAACUGGUUUCAUUUUCAUACAAAGGAAGAAGGGAUUGUAGCUCACUGUGAUCUGAAGUGGGAAAUGUCCUUGUGCCAGAGGUUCAGAGGAAGCAGCGGCCAUAGUUUAAUGAGCUCCUCUCGGGCCAGCUCCUUAACUCAGGAGCUUUCUCUAAAAGGAGGCUCCGUGGGGGGCAUUGUCUCAGGUAACAGACUCGAAAAUUGUAUUAUUAAGGCAUUUUCCUGUUAGUAAGUACUGGAGGCAGAAUUUAAGCUAAGACCUGUCUUAUAUCAAAGCUCAUGCUUUUCUCUUUAAAAAAAUAGGACAUUUGUUGGCAGGUAAUUCUUUGUUUUCUUAGUUUUGCUUUUUUAAAGAGCUAUGCAAUAAAAACUAAAUUUUCAGGGAUGUGGUAUUGUAGCUUUUUCUCCUUCCAAACACUUCUAUUAUAAAGUAACCAUCAUUGAAGCCCAAUGAGGCCUGGAGGGGUAGCUCAGCAGUUAGGAGCUGACUGCUUUUCCAGAGGAUCCAUGUUCGAUCGCCAGCAACCACACAGUAGCUCACAAACAUUCAGCUCC
rnacentral:lncRNA from 1 species